GAUGGGACAACGACCAGGGACAGUGAAGAGGAAUAUCAGUCAGCUGGCUCCCACUGCUACAGCCCGCAGCCACACAGCUGGAAUACCCUCACCCUGGGCAGGGACUGCAGGCUCUCAGUCAGGGGCUGAAGGGCGGCCACGUGCUAGCCAUUGCAAACGCUCAGGGUACAUCCCUGCUGACCUUGCCCAAGACCAUGGAGAGGCAGCUGAGUCCUCAGUUUGAGGAAGACAGGAUAAGAGCCUGCUCCCGCUGGGAGAGCUGCUAGCGGCCAGUGAGAUGGAGAGGCCCGAGGAGGUCGCUGAUCAAUGGGUGAGUCUCGAAUGUCAUAUGGAUAAGUCUGGGCCAGGGCACAGGUUUUUUCUUUCUUUCUUUCUUGGAGGGGAGCGGGCUUAAGGCAGGGUCUAAGUAGCCCACUGACCUCAAACACGCUCUAUAGCCCAGGGUGGGAGUUAGGGUCUUCCUGCCUCAGAUUCUGCCCCAGAGAGAAUGACAGACGCGUGUGCCACCACACCUGGCUCAGAUAAGAUCUCUCUGCCUGUGUUGACAUGUGCACACACCACGUGACGGUGUGUAUGUGCAUCUGUGCGUGUGUCUCUGGAGGUCAAACUCAGA
ensembl:processed_transcript